UCUCCAGGCAGAACGGUCGCCGCGUCGCCUCAGCACGGACCUCCAGGGAGCUCCUCAGCAAGAUCCUGCCAGGGCGCCCCUCAGCGCGAUUCUGCCGGGGUGCCUCUCAGCGUGGUCCUCCCCGGGGCUCCUCAGCACGAUUCUCCCGGUGCGCCCCUCAGCGCGGUCCUCCUCGCGCGGCACUCUCCUGGGGGCUCCUCAGCGCGGCACUCUCCCCGGGGGCUCCUCAGCGCGGCACUCUCCCGGCGGCUCCUCAGUGCGGUUCUCCCAGACUCUCCUCAGCGCGGCCCUCCCCAUCUCUCUGGGAGGGUUUGAACACGGUCAGCACGGACCUGGGCGGACGGCGCGGGACGGGUGAUCACUGGCGUUGCUGAGCACUAUUCACAACAGCAAAGAUAUGGACUCAGGAACCUAAGUGUACAUCAGUGGAUAAAUGGAAAAAGAAAAUGAGGAUCAGAUAUCAGGGAUGUCCUGCAUCAGUGAUGAGAGUGAAGCUUCACAGUUUUGAUGGCUGUUUAACGGAGAUAUGAUACUUGAAGCAGACCUCCACUGAUGGGUAUGUCGGUGGUUUGCAAUUUUUUGCUAUUUAACAAUUGCAGAAAUCAAUAUCCUGAUGAUGGAUUAUUUUGCAAAUGUGUAAGAUAUGUGUAGAAUAAAUUUCUAGAAUGAUUCAAAGGCA
rnacentral:lncRNA from 1 species